rnacentral:rRNA from 1 species
UACGGGGGGGGCAAGCGUUGUUCGGAAUUACUGGGCGUAAAGGGCUUGUAGGUGGCCAACUAAGUCAGACGUGAAAUCCCUCGGCUUAACCGGGGAACUGCGUCUGAUACUGGAUGGCUUGAGUGUGGGAGAGGGAUGCGGAAUUCCAGGUGUAGCGGUGAAAUGCGUAGAUAUCUGGAGGAAUACCGGUGGCGAAGGCGGCAUCCUGGACCGGCAUUGACGCUGAUGAGCGAAAGCUAGGGGAGCAAACGGG